rnacentral:rRNA from 1 species
AACGAACGCUGGCGGCGUGGAUAAGACAUGCAAGUCGAACGGGAUUUUCCGUUGUAGCAAUACGAUGGAAAAUUUAGUGGCGAACGGGUGCUUAACACGUGGGCAACCUGCCAGGAAGUGGGGGAUAGCUCGCCGAAAGGCGAAUUAAUACCGCAUGUGAUUAGAGAGGACAUCCUUUCGAAAUUAAAGUCGGGGCAACCUGACGCUUCUUGUGGGGCCCGCGGCCUAUCAGCUAGUUGGUGAGGUAACGGCUCACCAAGGCUUUGACGGGUAGCUGGUCUGAGAGGACGACCAGCCACACUGGGACUGAGACACGGCCCAGACACCUACGGGUGGCAGCAGUCGAGAAUUUUUGACAAGGGGGGAAACCCUGAUCGAGCGACGCCGCGUGGAGGAUGAAGGUCUUCGGAUUGUAAACUCCUGUCAUUGGGGAACAAGGUGCAUACGUUAACUGCGUGUGUAUUGAUAGUACCCGAAGAGGAAGAGACGGCUAACUCUGUGCCAGCAGCCGCAGUAAGAC